AAUUGCUCUCUUUUGCAACCAGCCUUAAGCGGGCACUCGAUGAACUGCAAUUUUUUGCACUUCUGCAUGGGCUUCAUCGCUUAGAGCUGGUGUCGGUACGAGAUGUGUUCGGCUUGCCAGAUAUGUUCGGCCCGAGAAUCCGGCGCUUCGUGAUGACGUCACACCCUGUCAAAUACGUGCGAAUUUUUACGAUUAUGCAUUUGACAUGAAGUGACGUCAUCCAUAAGCGCUGGAUCCUAUGGCCAAAUAUAUCUGUCAGGCCGAACACAUCCGCCUGAUGAUUCCACACAGGAGGGCUUCCUCCACUGACGGAAUCACGUGUUGUAAAGACGCUUUACCAUAGGUCGAGGAAGGAGUCAGCGGCAGUGCUGCCUUUAGGGGCGCUUGAAAAAAUCCGGGAAAUUAUAACAUUCUGACUAAAGUCUUGGCUAACCAAUUGAAUGAUGUGCCGUCUGUGACUACAAAAGAUGGGUCCAAACAAAAAAAACAUAGGGCCGUGGGAGAGGACGAGAGGAGGUCAGGCGUUUGGCCUCUGAGGCAGGAAACAGACCAGCACCUCGGCAGAAGAAGUGGCAUGAUCUAUAUCUGAAGAUAAACCUGGACAGAGUGAUAUGUGUAUCAUAUUAAAUGUAAAGCUAUGACAUAUUUAAAGGGAACACCUUCUUAUUCGCUGUCAAACACAGAGAUUGAGAAAUGCCCAAUGUAGAUGAGGGGACAGAUGUCACUGUUUGGAGGUGCACAGAUCUGUAAAUGUGUUUUUUCAUGCAAAGAACGUAUCUGAAGUCUCUUAUGACGUGCUGGUGUUGAAUUCUGUUUUAUUACAAUUUUUUUUUAAUCUUAUCUGUGAACCUGUAGCCUUCCAGUUCGCUCCCUGUCUCAGUGCAUCCAAGAACCUCAUGUACAGUGGCACAGCAGCCAGGGCCUUCACCUGGUGAGAUGCUACAGCCAGGACUCUACCUGCAGGUUCACCACCACCACCAAAGGAUGUCUCCUUAGCUAGCGGUGAACCUUGGCAUCACCCAGCUUCUUCCAUUCUGCCCUCCACUGCUACAGCUGAACCCCCUCCGCUCUUCUCACCUUGCCAUUGCCUAAAAAUGUGGGGAUCGUACCUGUUUCAGACGCUGCUUGGCUGCCCACAAAACUGCUGAAGACCAUACAUUUCAGCAGCCCUAUGGAAAGACCAGCGUCUUUUCAAAGACCCAAAACUGUGGUAUCCCUCAUAUACCAUCACGUCCUCACUCCUGAGCGCUUCUUCCACCACGACUUCUCUCAUGGAAAAACAUGGUGUGACAUUCUUUGUCAAUAUGUAUAUAAUGUAAAUAGUUUUAAAAGAAAAAAGUCUUAAUAUGCUGCUGUUCUAUUUUGUUUUUUAACUUUACCACACGUGUUUGUGAGUGUGUGUGUGAAAUUUGUAAUAAAUUUGUUACAUUUCAGUGACUGUCUUAAUUUUUUUCUGCAAAAAUGCAAACUCACUCAUAGAAAACGAUAAUAUUGUUGCAGUACUUCAUUCAGAAAUAUAAAAAUGACUAUAAAAGUACAUUUAGGUACAUGUGAUAACACUUGGUAGUAGUCUGUGUUAAAGGCCUCAUGUUCCAAUGGUGGAAUCAAACCGGCGACCUUUGGGUCAAGAGCCUCCUAUGCUUUUCUGCAGUUAAGUGUCAUGUUUGGUUAGCUUUCUCAAAUUAAUAGACCAGAAUAUGUGUGAUUUUACUUGUGAUGGACAGUAGAGACACUAAUAAGUGCAGGCUCCUUCCAUUUUUUCAAAAUUUCCUCUCUUUUCCGUCUUUUCCCUUCUUCCCCCUUCUUCCCCCUCUUCCUUCUUCUUCCCCCGCCUAUCCAGACUAUUGUUCCCCAGCUUCAUUUACAGGUUACACUUGCAGGACUGGAUCCUUUUUUUUUCUCUCUACUUUUUAUAC